UUUAGGUCAUCGUGGUAUUCUUCUGAGCGUAGGUCUCCAAACAUGUGGUGAAAGAGCAACUUGUAUGCUGAGACAGCGACAUCCGUGUUUUGCCGUCUCGACUUCCGUUAUGAAGACUUUUUAUUUCUGAACGUGUGCCGACUGUGCCGUCUUGUCAUACCGUGGAUCGAAAAUGACUUUGGAAACAACCCCGUCUCUUUCAACACCUAAAUAGCAGGAUUAAUUGCCGCUGUUUGAACGACUUAAUGAAUUAAAAACCCUUGUUUCUUUUUGAACAACUUAGAAUCAAAUUAAUCAGCCUCGUCUCUUCGUCUCUGAAAAACCUAAUAGCAGGAUUAAACAACUCCGUCUACGUGAACAACCGCGCCUGUCUUUAAACAACUUAUACGUGUAUCGAUUAACCUGAUAUUUACUUGAACAACUUAAAAAACGCUGUCUCUAUUUCUAUUCGAACAACUUAUAGUAGGAUUAAACAACUCCGUUUCUGUUUGGUCAAAUUAUAAUAGAAUUUGAAUGAAACUUCCAUGUAACGUACAUUGAAUUAAUAAUCGAUUGUCUUUUGUUUUCGUCAUUUAUUAUAAAUAAUUUUACAUAGAUUAACUGCGUGUAAACAAAGGUGAAAUGAGAAAGAAGCGUGUCCUAGAACUAUCGUGUAGUAAUGUGUAUCAUAAUCACUAACAUUUAUGUAGUUUGUCAAAUUUAUGAGCUACAAAGAAAAAUGUUUGACAGUAGAACUUACUUAGAAUUACUCUAAAGACAUCAUCAUUUUCAUUAAGGUUAGGGCUAACUUUCCAAGUAGUCUUUCUUUAGUUGUGUUCUGUUUGCUUCUAGCUGGGGAAUAUUCAUGUUGUUUUCUUUUAAUGCUUGUAUGAAAAAAAAUCAUUAUAAUGGUUUUGUCACAAUAAAAUGUACUCUGCUACUUUGCA
rnacentral:lncRNA from 1 species